rnacentral:rRNA from 1 species
GAAGGUGGCGAGCGUUGUUCGGGUGUCACUGGGCUUAAAGCGUGUGUAGGCGGAACGGUAAGCGUCUUGUGAAAUCCCUCGGGCUCAACCGAGGAAUUGCUCGGCGAACUGUCGUUCUUGAGGCAGGCAGAGGUGCGUGGAACUCUUGGUGGAGCGGUGGAAUGCGUAGAUAUCAAGAGGAACGCCAGUGGUGAAGACGACGCACUGGGCCUGUCCUGACGCUGAGACACGAAAGCGUGGGUAGCGAACGGGAUUAGAUACCCCGGUACGUCCACGCCGUAAACGAUGUCUACUAGGUUGUGGAAGUUCUGACGCUGUCACAGCCGAAGCAAAAGUAGAUAAGUAGACCGCCUGGGGAGGUACGGCCGCAAAGGCUA